CCCCACCUUCAUGGUUGCUAUGGCAAUGUCCCAAGCCUUGAUGACCUCCCCUGCAGGUACAGAGGCAAACAGGACCACUUUAGCAGGGUUCUGAUUCUGGGCUCAAACAGUGCUUCUGAAGAGUUAAUGCACCACACUCAUGGGGAAGCUGAACAUCCUUUAGAAAUGGGACCAGAAGGUGAGAUACCUGGUUGCAUUAAGUGCUACCAGGUCUAAGAACUGUAAAAGAUCACCUGACCCUGAACAAAAGAGUUUAAGAUGCAAGACAGUCCACCUUUGAAGGGGGAGUAAGGUGUUGGGAGGUGAUGAGGAGAAGGGGAGACAAAGAUCAGUAUAGUUACAGAACGGUAGAAAAAAAAAGAGUGACCGAAAGAGUUAACAGACUGUGAUAAACCAUUCCUCCCUGAGCUUGGUCCUGAGAAAAUGGUUUCUGCUUGUGACAGCUUGUGUCCACCUCGAACCUAUCCUACCAGCCCACUGACCACGCCUACCUUUUCCCAGGUCAAAGGAGAAUUUGUCCUUGCGAUCCAGACUGGAGUCAAACUUUGUGCCAUCUAAUAGCCAGCCAGUAUAGUGGACAAAGACUCGGUCCCCAAUCAUGGGCAUCUCUGUACCUGUGCCCUCUCUCUUGAUGACCUGGGAGGAAGGGGGAGAAAGUACAGCAAGACUUGGUUUGAAAAAGGAGACAAAAGGCUGAGAGAUUUGAGUUCAAGUUUCCGCUGUAUGGAUAAGUUUUAAAAAUUCUCCACACCUUAUUUGUAAAGCAGUGAUGAUAA